rnacentral:rRNA from 1 species
GGUCGCAAGGCCGAAACUUAAAGGAAUUGACGGAAGGGCACCACCAGGAGUGGAAUCUGCGGCUUAAUUUGACUCAACGCGGGAAAACUCACCAGGUCAGGACACGGUAAGGAUUGACGGACUGAAGGCUCUUUCUCGAUUCCGUGGAAAGUGGUGCAUGGCCGUUUUUGGUUGGUGGAUCGAUCCGUCUGGUUAAUUCCGUUAACGAACGAGACCUCGGCACUCCGAAUAGCGCGGCGGACGUCGCGGCCUCCGGGCCGUCUUCCGCACGAGCUUCUUAGAGGGACCGUCCCCCGCCGGGGAAGGAGGUGCGAGGCAACGACAGGUCUGUGAUGCCCUUAGAUGUUCUGGGCCGCACGCGCAUUACACUGACGCGUCCAACGGGUGACUCCCGACCCGAAGGGGCCGGGGAAUCCGCAAGGCGCGUCGUGAUGGGGAUUGAACGUUGCAAUUGUUGUUCACGAACGAGGAAUUCCUAGUAGGCGCGGGUCAUCAACCCGCGCCGAUUACGUCCCUGCCCUUUGUACACACCG